rnacentral:misc_RNA from 1 species
UAGCACUCCAUCAGUCAUAUACUGCACAAUUGAGAAUGAAAACUCUAGAAUGUGAUCGUCUUAUAUAAGUUAGAACCAAACUUGAAAUAACAAAGAAAAUAAGAUAAAUUGCUCAACAACCUAUUACUACAAUGUGGAUAAUAACUCAUUCAUCUGGCUAUCUUCAUAUCAAUUAUAUGAAUAAACUAUUGUCUAAAUUAAAACUAAAAAUAAAACACAAAGCCAAUUUGAAAUCUUUUGAGACAACGUUAAAAGGCCUUGCUUCAAAAAUAAACAAGAGGGCGGAAAAGAUAAACAUAGACAUCUGAUUAGUAUUAUAAAAGACACAUAAGUUUCUCCAUCAAACAGGACUUGAAGUGAGUAAAACUAGACCAAGACCAUACACCAUACAUAAAAACCACACUUUUGAAAAACAUUGGGGGGAGGCAAGGAGGGAGAGAAAGGAAAAUUAUUAAAAAAGGGGUCAAGAUUAAAAAUUGUGCAGAUAUUUGUAGGUAACUACAAUGUUGUCUGACUAAUUUGCUGGUUUGCAUAACUUUUUGAGAUCUCCACUACAAUAUUUGUUGAAAAUGGGUCCAGUCUCAAGUCUUUCUUACAAACUAUUGACACGGUCUAACAAUUGCCUAAUUUAGAAUGACUAGAAACAACGCAAAAUCAGGGUUUUAGCAGCUCAACAAGUGCCUACAGCAAUCAAUCAUUUCCACCACAGACAAAU